GACGAACCGUGCGAACGUUAUUCGGAAUCACUGGGCUUAAAGCGCGUGUAGGCGGGGCGGCACGUCGGCCGUUGAAAUCCCCCGGCUCAACCGGGGAAGGGGCGCCGAUACGACCGCCCUCGAGGAACGUAGGGGGAGCUGGAACUUCCGGUGGAGCGGUGAAAUGCGUUGAGAUCGGAAGGAACGCCCGUGGCGAAAGCGAGCUCCUGGACGUUUUCUGACGCUGAGACGCGAAAGCCAGGGGA
rnacentral:rRNA from 1 species